rnacentral:rRNA from 1 species
GACGAACGCUGGCGGCGUGCCUAAUACAUGCAAGUUGAGCGCUGAAGGUUGGUACUUGUACCGACUGGAUGAGCAGCGAACGGGUGAGUAACGCGUGGGGAAUCUGCCUUUGAGCGGGGGACAACAUUUGGAAACGAAUGCUAAUACCGCAUAAAAACUCUAAACACAAGUUUUAAGUUUGAAAGAUGCAAUUGCAUCACUCAAAGAUGAUCCCGCGUUGUAUUAGCUAGUUGGUGAGGUAAAGGCUCACCAAGGGGAUGAUACAUAGCCGACCUGAGAGGGUGAUCGGCCACAUUGGGACUGAGACACGGCCCAAACUCCCACGGGAGGCAGCAGUAGGGAAUCUUCGGCAAUGGACGAAAGUCUGACCGAGCAACGCCGCGUGAGUGAAGAAGGUUUUCGGAUCGUAAAACUCUGUUGGUAGAGAAGAACGUUGGUGAGAGUGGAAAGCUCAUCAAGUGACGGUAACUACCCAGAAAGGGACGGCUAACUAUGUGCCAGCAGCCGCCGUAACAC